rnacentral:rRNA from 1 species
GGGGCUAGCGUUGUUCGGAAUUACUGGGCGUAAAGCGCACGUAGGCGGCUUUGUAAGUUAGAGGUGAAAGCCCGGGGCUCAACUCCGGAAUUGCCUUUAAGACUGCAUCGCUAGAAUUGUGGAGAGGUAAGUGGAAUUCCGAGUGUAGAGGUGAAAUUCGUAGAUAUUCGGAAGAACACCAGUGGCGAAGGCGGCUCACUGGUCCAUUACUGACGCUGAGGUGCGAAAGCGUGGGGAGCAAACAGG